AAGGUUUCCAUCCGGGCUUCUGCGGCAGAUGACUUCUGUCUGCAGCACAAACAGCACCCAACCACAGUUAAUCCGUCUGCAACAUCUGAGACAUCCGACAUUCUCUUAGAUUGCUGAGACAGAGAGCUAUUCCGCUCCACCAUGCGUCCUAAUCGAGCUUCAACCGUCCAUCCCGAACUCCCCAGCAAGUUGCGACAACGGACACCACCCCACUCUCUGUAACAAACUCCAUGUGGCCCCACC
rnacentral:lncRNA from 1 species